rnacentral:rRNA from 1 species
AUUGAACGCUGGCGGCAGGCCUAACACAUGCAAGUCGAACGAGGGGCGGACGGGCGAGUAAUGUCGGGGAAACUGCCUGAUGGAGGGGGAAAACUACGGGAAACGGUAGCUAAUACCGCAUACUAUCGGAUGCGCCCAUAGGGGAUUAGCUAGUAGGUGGGGUAAAGGCUCACCUAGGCGACGAUCCCUAGCUGGUCGGAGAGGAUGACCAGCCACACUGGAACUGAGACACGGCCCAGACUCCUACGGGAGGCAGCAGUGGGGAAUAUUGCACAAUGGGCGAAAGCCUGAUUCAGCCAUGCCGCGUGUGUGAAGAAGGCCUUCGGGUUGUAAAGCACUUUCGGCUGAGAAGCGUUACCCGCAGAAGAAGCACCGGCUAACUCCGUGCCAGCAGCCGCGGUAAUUC